GUUUGAACUGACAGCUUCCAGAUGCUGAUGGAUGUCUCAGCCACCGCAGGAGGAAAUGAGGACAGAGGUCACAUGAGAGGAAGCGCUGUUCUGUGAUUCAGCUCCACCCUCUAGGGUCACUUCUGGUUGCAAAAAAACAAGAUGGCAAUGGCCAAAAUGCCGAACUCGGAGCUUCAAAACAGCAGUCCACAAACCAAUGGGUGACGACAUGAUGACUCAGAGCAGCAGUAGACCAUCACAGCCUGGGAAACAGACGCUGAAGUCAAAAGGGUAGUGACUGGUUGUUUGAACCAACACAAAUACCACCUCACUGACAAUCCUUUAAUCUAUGAACUAUAGUAUGACAUACUAUACUGGGACAUAUUUUACAAAAUACUAUACUUUGACAUUUUUUAUGUUUUUAUUAAUGCCAUACUUACACUUUUUAUAACCAACUAUAC